CCAAGAAGGAGGGAAGAAUGAGAUAGACGGAAUAGUAGACUACGAAUAAGAGUCCGAUAAUUACGAAUAAAUCCAUACUUAAUUACACUUAUCUACGGCAACAAAAUAACGAGAUAGAAACAUCUUAAUUUCUGAAGAGAAAAAUCAGAAUUAAAUAUGGACAAACUGGAGUCAUUAUUGGAUUUACUGGAUUUUGAGGACUUAGCAAUGAGAGACUGAUAUUACAACUACUCACGAAGUAUAGUCAUCAAUUACAUCACAGAUUCAAGAGAACUUUUAAAUCAAAAGCAGAACUCAAAUACAUUACUGUAUUUUUUUCUUUUUAUUUCUAAACAAAGAUUCCAUUCAUUGUAGAGACCCUCUAAUUAAAAGAAAAAGAUUAAAGAAUUGCGACAUGAAACGAUUUGAGUCGACUUUUGUAUGCAGAGUAGAAGUUUUAACAAAAUCGAUAACAGAGAGAGAAAUAUAUUAGUAAUCUUUAACCUUACG